rnacentral:rRNA from 1 species
CCUACGGGAGGCAGCAGCAGGGAAUAUUGCACAAUGGGCGAAAGCCUGAUGCAGCGACGCCGCGUGAGGGAUGAAGGCCUCCGGGUCGUAAACCUCUUUCAGGAGGGAAGAAGCGCAAGUGACGGUACCUCCAGAAGAAGCCCCGGCCAACUACGUGCCAGCAGCCGCGGUAAUACGUAGGGGGCGAGCGUUGUCCGGAUUCAUUGGGCGUAAAGAGCUCGUAGGCGGCUCGGUAAGUCGGCCGUGAAAUCCCGGAGCUCAACUCCGGGAGGCCGGUCGA